rnacentral:rRNA from 1 species
AAAUUGAAGAGUUUGAUCAUGGCUCAGAUUGAACGCUGGCGGCAGGCCUAACACAUGCAAGUCGAACGGUAACAGGAAACAGCUUGCUGUUUCGAUGACGAGUGGCGGACGGGUGAGUAAUGUCUGGGAAACUGCCUGAUGGAGGGGGAUAACUACUGGAAACGGUAGCUAAUACCGCAUAACGUCGCAAGACCAAAGAGGGGGACCUUCGGGCCUCUUGCCAUCGGAUGUGCCCAGAUGGGAUUAGCUAGUAGGUGGGGUAACGGCUCACCUAGGCGACGAUCCCUAGCUGGUCUGAGAGGAUGACCAGCCACACUGGAACUGAGACACGGUCCAGACUCCUACGGGAGGCAGCAGUGGGGAAUAUUGCACAAUGGGCGCAAGCCUGAUGCAGCCAUGCCGCGUGUAUGAAGAAGGCCUUCGGGUUGUAAAGUACUUUCAGCGGGGAGGAAGGGAGUAAAGUUAAUACCUUUGCUCAUUGACGUUACCCGCAGAAGAAGCACCGGCUAACUCCGUGCCAGCAGCCGCGGUAAUACGGAGGGUGCAAGCGUUAAUCGGAAUUACUGGGCGUAAAGCGCACGCAGGCGGUUUGUUAAGUCAGAUGUGAAAUCCCCGGGCUCAACCUGGGAACUGCAUCUGAUACUGGCAAGCUUGAGUCUCGUAGAGGGGGGUAGAAUUCCAGGUGUAGCGGUGAAAUGCGUAGAGAUCUGGAGGAAUACCGGUGGCGAAGGCGGCCCCCUGGACGAAGACUGACGCUCAGGUGCGAAAGCGUGGGGAGCAAACAGGAUUAGAUACCCUGGUAGUCCACGCCGUAAACGAUGUCGACUUGGAGGUUGUGCCCUUGAGGCGUGGCUUCCGGAGCUAACGCGUUAAGUCGACCGCCUGGGGAGUACGGCCGCAAGGUUAAAACUCAAAUGAAUUGACGGGGGCCCGCACAAGCGGUGGAGCAUGUGGUUUAAUUCGAUGCAACGCGAAGAACCUUACCUGGUCUUGACAUCCACGGAAGUUUUCAGAGAUGAGAAUGUGCCUUCGGGAACCGUGAGACAGGUGCUGCAUGGCUGUCGUCAGCUCGUGUUGUGAAAUGUUGGGUUAAGUCCCGCAACGAGCGCAACCCUUAUCCUUUGUUGCCAGCGGUCCGGCCGGGAACUCAAAGGAGACUGCCAGUGAUAAACUGGAGGAAGGUGGGGAUGACGUCAAGUCAUCAUGGCCCUUACGACCAGGGCUACACACGUGCUACAAUGGCGCAUACAAAGAGAAGCGACCUCGCGAGAGCAAGCGGACCUCAUAAAGUGCGUCGUAGUCCGGAUUGGAGUCUGCAACUCGACUCCAUGAAGUCGGAAUCGCUAGUAAUCGUGGAUCAGAAUGCCACGGUGAAUACGUUCCCGGGCCUUGUACACACCGCCCGUCACACCAUGGGAGUGGGUUGCAAAAGAAGUAGGUAGCUUAACCUUCGGGAGGGCGCUUACCACUUUGUGAUUCAUGACUGGGGUGAAGUCGUAACAAGGUAACCGUAGGGGAACCUGCGGUUGGAUCACCUCCUUACCUUAAAGAAGC